rnacentral:lncRNA from 1 species
UUUUUUUUUCUCGGGCCCACGCUUUUUUUGCGCCUAUCGCCUAGGCCCUAAUCGGUGCCUAUGCGCCUAGAGUGCGCUUCGCGCCUUUGGUAACUAUGCAAUAUAUUAUAUGUUUAGUUUAACCUGGUUAAUCAUUACAUUGUUCAACAACUUCUUGAUCCAUAUCCUUGUCAAAAACCGUACUGCAAACCAGUUCAUACAUAUAUGCACAUCCAACACGUAUGACAGUCAUACAAGCCGUAUGACGGGCUGAAAAAUAGCCAUACGGGUUGUAUUGUAAGAGAGCCAUAUCAUACUGCCUGUUUGACGUUUUGACUGACAAAGAAAUACAGCCCAUAUAACGUUUUGACUUGCAAAGAAUUCAGUGGCAGAACUAGCCCAAAAACUUAGGGGUAUCCCAAUUUUUUUUUUUUUUUUUAGACCAGGGGUAUCCUUUGUAUAACGGAGACGAAGAUGAGGGGUAUUUUACACAACGGAAACGGAGUUAAGGGGUAUUUUUACACUACGUAAAUGGGGUUGAGGGGUAGCCCGUGCUACCCCUACUAAAAGCAUUCACAUCCAUUCCAUCAUUUUUUCACCCUAAAUUACACUAAAAAACACUACAUCUCCUCUCUCAUUUUCAAUUAAAUAAUAUUCUUUUAUACCUUUAUCAUUACCUUUUCUCUCUCAUCCACUCACAACCACUUUCAAAAUAUAUUAAAAAAUUAUAGAGGGUGAACAGUGUCCCUUCAAAUAUACAGAUGAACAGUAACAUUUUCUCUCUCCUCCACUCACAACCACUUUUUAUACUCUUUAUAUUAUAAAAACUCCACUCACAGAUUUUAGUGGGUUGGAUGUGAAUGCUCUAACAUUCUAAGUCCGCCCCUGAAAGAAAUGACUGACUGCUUGUUUGACGUUUGACUGACAAAGAAAUACAGCCCGUAUAACGUUUUGACUUAUAAAGAAAUGACUGACUUAACCACUCACAAAGUCAUAACUCCCCGUAUGACCUUUUUCACCCUAUCAUACACCCCCUAUGAUCCCUACGACCACCUGUAUGGUGUGACAGUUGACCUGGUGUCUAAUGAUAAGAGGUUGUUUGUUUGGGAUAUGACUUUUAAAGUGAUUAUAUGAUUUGGUAUUAACAAACAAGUUAAAUAACUCUAAUGAAGCAAUACUAAACUUGAUUAAUCAGAUAACUUAAAUAACCAUACACAAACCCCUAAUUAGAAUUGUAACAUAUAAUAAAUCCCAUGAAACAGAAGCAAUUUCAAGUUAUGAUUGUAGAUGAUUACAUACCGGAUGCUCAGCACCGAUCGAGUGUUUGAUCGCCUGUCCAGUAGCUUUGUUCACCAAAGCAAAAGAGUGGAAACCCUCUUCGUCCUUCACUCUCGUGCUAUACUUCUCUUCCUUUAUCCAAUGCUGUGUAACAAUUCAAAAUUUUGGUCAAUCAAAUCAGAUGUAAUAAAAAGGUUUCCAAAAUUAUUUUUUUAACCGCAACCACACACCCUAAAAUCCAACUAUUACCCAUUUUGUACGACUUCGCUAGCCGCUAGUCGGUCGGUUAGGUACCGACUAGCGAUUAAUCGGAAUUAAUCGAAUUGAGAUUUUUAUAUGUAACUUUUAGUUAUCUAUAUACACACACAUUUUAAUGUGUAGUUUUUUUUUAAAAUAGACAUGUUUUAAACUCUUGUUGACCCACAUUUUUAAGUUAUUAACGGGAAUAAAUAGGGUUUGGUCGAAAUUUGGCAGAGUUCUGGCAAAAAAAAAAUUGGUUAGGAUAGGACUGCCAUUGACCGCCUGUAGGAGCAGACCUAUAGUGUUACAAGGGGUAACCUCCGUUGCCCUUUGACGCUCCGGUGACACUCAGACAAUAGUGUAAAUUUUGGGAAAAAAUGACGUUUUUUUUUUAUUUCGUUACCCCUAUCCGGAUUAGUCGGGAUUUUUACCACUGGCCGCCUGGCGACUAAUCGGAGAUUCAUCAGGAUUUUUACAACCAUGCUUGAAGCCACAUUACUUUGUAUCACUAGAAAAAAGGUUUUCCAAAAAUAGUUGUGAAUUAAAAGAAAUAAAUGAUACCAUACCUGAUGGUGAUCAGAAGGGUUGGUAGGUGCAAGAACAACUUUACCAUCACGGAUGGUGAAAUCUAACAGUUGGUUUAUUGUCGGUGUACUUUGGAGUGUGGUGGGUGGUGGUAUGGUGGACCGGAGGUGGUGAUGGUUGGUGGGAGACGUGGUGGACCACAACUGCAGGUUGUGGUGGCGGUGGUGAUGGUUGGUGGUGGUGGGGAGCGUUGUGGUGGUGGUGGUGGUGGCGAUC